UAAAAUGCAAUUUAUAUCCCCAUAAUGACAGUGCCUAGUAGUAAGAUGUUUGUAUUUUCCCUCCUUCAAGUGGGUAAAGAUUAUUCCUAGACUGAAGCCUUCAUCACAAGCCAACUUUUAACUGCAAUAGAAAUAUCUGAACUGGACUGGGGAUCAACUUUGACCCAAGGCUUUCUCAUGAUGCAUCACAGUUUUUCUAAGCUUUACUAAGACACUGGACAGUAAAGGAAACGAAUCCUUCAUAUGUUGUCUGAGCCCAGCAGGGAAACAGAAAUGCUUUCCAAAAAGAGAAAAUGAAGAAAAAUGUAAGUAAGAAAGGAACUAAUCCUUCAUAUUUAUCUAAGAACUCCUGAAGCCCAUUUUGAUAGGUAUAUUCUUUCUUGGGCAAAUGACUUAAUUGAAAUUUACGUUAUAUGAUCUAUACAAAUAUUGUUUCAGAUCUCUUGGCUUUUCCAAAUGAAAAUUGAACUUUCUAAGGCCUUUCUCCUCAGUAUAAUAAGCCUAUUUUUAGAGCCGUGAAUGCCUUAUAAAGAACGUUUUGUUCACCUGUAGAAAAGUUUGUUAUUCAAAACUUGAAGAAAACACUGCAAAACACUGUAUAUAGCACCAGUUUGUCCCUGCUACAUUAUAAACUUUGCUAAAAACUGAAGUGACUUUGAAGGCAGGAAAACUGGAAACUGUAAAGAGUAGAAGGCACUUGAAAAUAUCAUCUGUUAUAAAUACUUACAGCUGUAAAAUAUACCUGUAUUCAGUGCACCUGUGAGAUUCUUGUUACUACUUUCAUUUCUGAUG
rnacentral:lncRNA from 1 species